ACGGGAGGCAGCAGUGGGGAAUAUUGCACAAUGGGGGGAACCCUGAUGCAGCGAUGCCGCGUGGAGGAAGAAGGUUUUCGGAUUGUAAACUCCUGUCUUAAAGGACGAUAAUGACGGUACUUUAGGAGGUAGCUCCGGCUAACUACGUGCCAGCAGCCGCGGUAAUACGUAGGGAGCGAGCGUUGUCCGGAAUUACUGGGUGUAAAGGGAGCGUAGGCGGGAUUGCAAGUCAGAUGUGAAAACUAUGGGCUUAACCCAUAGACUGCAUUUGAAACUGUAGUUCUUGAGUGAAGUAGAGGUAAGCGGAAUUCCUGGUGUAGCGGUGAAAUGCGUAGAUAUCAGGAGGAACACCGGUGGCGAAGGCGGCUUACUGGGCUUUUACUGACGCUGAGGCUCGAAAGCGUGGGGAGCAAACAGGAUUAGAUACCCUGGUA
rnacentral:rRNA from 1 species